rnacentral:rRNA from 1 species
GGACGAACGCUGGCGGCGUGCUUAACACAUGCAAGUCGAGCGGUAAAGGCCCUUUACGGGGGGUACACCGAGCGGCGAACGGGUGAGUAACACGUGGGUGACCUGCCCUCACGCUCUGGGGAUAAGCCUGGGAAACCGGGUCUAAUACCGGAUAUGACUCCAUGACGCAGUGUUGUGGGGUGAAAGCCUUGUGCGGCUGAGGAUGGG